UACGGGGGGGGCAAGCGUUGUUCGGAAUUACUGGGCGUAAAGGGCGCGUAGGCGGCCUGCUAAGUCGGACGUGAAAUCCCCCGGCUCAACCGGGGAACUGCGUCCGAUACUGGUGGGCUCGAAUCCGGGAGAGGGAUGUGGAAUUCCAGGUGUAGCGGUGAAAUGCGUAGAUAUCUGGAGGAACACCGGUGGCGAAGGCGGCAUCCUGGACCGGCAUUGACGCUGAGGCGCGAAAGCCAGGGGAGCGAACGGG
rnacentral:rRNA from 1 species